UCGGCCGGGCUGCUUCCCUCUCCUCGCAGCACCCACAUCUCCCAUUUGUGGUUAAAGGUGUUUAGUGGCGCGCCACGCUGAGGAUCUUCCCCUGAGGUGGAAGCUGAGCCUUGACUCCCUUUCCAUUUUCUCUGCUAGUCGGAGGAGCCGUCCCUUUCACUCUCCCCUAAAGCUGGGCUGCAGCGGACUUGACUUUGAGUGACCCACCCCCCCAAAGCUUGAGACACCACUUCGAUCAGUUUCCACUUGGGGGCGAGAAAUUGUCCGAGCCAGCAUGACUCCAGUGGUUUGGAAUCCCAUUCAUCUCUUUUGGCUGGGACGUCAGCAACAGCAGCAACGGGGGCAGGAGUCACUCCUUUACUGCCUCUGCCUUCUCCGGGCUGUCACUGGGCCCCUGGGCGCAUACGUUAACUGUCCUGGCUCAAACAUACACUGACACAGACAUUUGGGAAUGACAUUCAGACACUCCCCUGGAGUCUGUGCCACACAUGAAGUUGCCUUCUAUUGACCCAAGUUUGAAUCUUCAA